GAUGAACGCUGGCGGCGUGCCUAAUACAUGCAAGUCGAGCGAACAGACGAGGAGCUUGCUCCUCUGACGUUAGCGGCGGACGGGUGAGUAACACGUGGAUAACCUACCUAUAAGACUGGGAUAACUUCGGGAAACCGGAGCUAAUACCGGAUAAUAUAUUGAACCGCAUGGUUCAAUAGUGAAAGACGGUUUUGCUGUCACUUAUAGAUGGAUCCGCGCCGCAUUAGCUAGUUGGUAAGGUAACGGCUUACCAAGGCGACGAUGCGUAGCCGACCUGAGAGGGUGAUCGGCCACACUGGAACUGAGACACGGCCCAGACUCCUACGGGAGGCCGCAGUCGGGAAUCUUCCGCAAUGGGCGAAAGCCUGACGGAGCAACGCCGCGUGAGUGAUGAAGGUCUUCGGAUCGUAAAACUCUGUUAUUAGGGAAGAACAAAUGUGUAAGUAACUAUGCACGUCUUGACGGUACCUAAUCAGAAAGCCACGGCUAACUACGUG
rnacentral:rRNA from 1 species